CUCCUAGACGUUCUGGGCUGCACGUGCGCUACAAUAAUACGCACAGCGAGUAUCACCGAGCUCGAAAGGGCAAGGUAAACAAUAGAAAAGGUACUGUAAUGGUUAUAGAUCCUUGUAAUUAUUGAUCUUCAACGAGGAAUUCCUAGUAAGUAUGUGUCAUCAUCACGCACUGAUUACGUCCCUGCCCUUUGUACACACCGCCCGUCGCUCCUACCGAUUGGGUGAGCCGAUGAAACUCUCGGAUGUAGGCUAUUCAUAGCCCGCAGAAGAGAUUUGAAUCGUAGCGCUUAGAGGAAGGAGAAGUCGUAACA
rnacentral:rRNA from 1 species